rnacentral:rRNA from 1 species
GAUGAACGCUGGCGGCGUGCCUAAUACAUGCAAGUAGAACGCUGAAGGAGGAGCUUGCUCUUCUGGAUGAGUUGCGAACGGGUGAGUAACGCGUAGGUAACCUGCCUGGUAGCGGGGGAUAACUAUUGGAAACGAUAGCUAAUACCGCAUGACAACAGUUAUUGCAUGAUAACUGUUUAAAAGGGGCAACUGCUCCACUACCAGAUGGACCUGCGUUGUAUUAGCUAGUUGGUGAGGUAACGGCUCACCAAGGCGACGAUACAUAGCCGACCUGAGAGGGGGGUCGGCCACACUGGGACUGGGACACGGCCCAGACUCCUACGGGAGGCAGCAGUAGGGAAUCUUCGGCAAUGGACGGAAGUCUGACCGAGCAACGCCGCGUGAGUGAAGAAGGUUUUCGGAUCGUAAAGCUCUGUUGUAAGGGAAGAACGAGUGUGAGAGUGGAAAGUUCACACUGUGACGGUAUCUUACCAGAAAGGGACGGCUAACUACGUG